AAGAGGAAAAGCCACACUGGACAAGAAGGAGCUGCCAGAUUUAAAGAGCCUGGACGUUUGUGAAAAAUAAGAUGUGACAAUUCCCUUGGUAUUUUUUUAAAUAAUGCGUGGAGUAAAUGCUAAAAGGUGAGACCUCCUGCAAAAUUAGGAGGAGAAAAGCCCAGGUUACUGUAUUAAAUUUGUGACCAACUCCAGGCAUACCAACUAAUUAUGGCACUUGUGACAGUCUUGUCAGGACAGUGCUGUAAAAACUCGAGGUGGCUGACCUAUAAGCCAGUAGCCUGUGCUACCUGGAGUCCAUUUCAUCCAUUGCCUGAGGACUGGCUGACUAGUACUGCGCAGCAACAGUCCCCACUGAGAUCCCGCUGCCUCUUGGAAGAACCUCUUAAAACAUACAGCUCUGCAUAGGCAGUGAAAGGAUAGGAUCGUGAAUGAAUGCUGCGGAGCCGUGCUGGGUGGAGGGAGUGCUCUCAAAGUGAGGUACCAGAGCUGGAGGCAAGUCAGCGAGAGUUAUGAUCAUCCAGAAUGGACGUAUCUCUAAGAUUUAUAAAAAGUGAUACAUAAUACAAAUAAGUGCGUAUACCCAGGGGAAAAGGUCCCUGACGAGCGAUUCACAAGACAAAUUCCCUGCAAGUGAGAACAAGAGGAGGAAACAUGGAAAGCCAGUACAUCAGAAUAACCCAUGUCCUCAUGAAAAACUCCUUGGUACUACAGCAACAGCAGAGAAAAAAGACUAUCAAGCAGAAGGGAAGGGAGUAUAUUCUGGAUAUUCUUCAGGAUAAAAGAGAUUAUGAGGUGAAAGUCAUGGUCCUUCAAGGAACAGGAAGAUAUCCUCACCUGCAAACAGUCAGCUGCAUCAGAGUGAAGAAAAGAACUCCUCAGCAGUGAUAUAUACCUCUCGGGUAACUUCUCGCUAUUUAUUUACUGCAUGACAGAGAUACUCCUGGUGCUGGCUCUCUCUAGAUUGUUAAUCAUUUCAGACUCUCAAACCAGCAGCAUUGUAGUGCCCAACCAUCACUACAAGCCAGACCCUUCUCCAGUGUGCUCCAAGGCACAGCAACCACACAGACCUCCUGCUGCUCUCAGAAGAUUCAUUGGAUUCUGCAGCUCCAGAUAUUGUACAGAGAUGCACAUUUUCUCUCAUUUAAUCAAGUUCAGUUUCAGGUGGUGAUGUCUAAAUGUGCUUUUUUGAUUGCUUACUAGAAACAGGAUGAUUCCACAGCAUCGCGCUCUUUUUUUUCACCUUUUGCACCGAGGAUUAGAAGUUGGCCUUGGAAGGUGAUAGCCAGUGACCUAGCCGGGCUUUCUGUGGUGCAGUGUUGCCAAAAGAUCAUCUAUCUUUUCAAACACAGAAUUCAGCUGUUAUGAUUCAUGAUCUGUGUUUGAUGUCAACAAGAAGAUUGGUCCCAGUAAUGACAAACCGCUCAGGCUGCAUCUAGCCUUCUGUCCAGCUGAGCAGCUUUCAUGUUAAGUAAAUGAGCACAGUUCUGUAUCUUAGAACUUCUGAAAAUAACUUGAAGACUUGCUCUACUGUGUUCAAAAUGAAUUAAAAAGAUACCCAAUACUUUGUUUCUUGCUGCAGAUCCCAAUUCCCGAGUUAUGCUCCUUGAUGCUUCAGUAUGCUCCUUCAUUAAGUAUAUAUUUGUAUGUCUUUUAAUUUGGCUGAAGUCAUGUAUCUGUAUUUUAGAAUAAGAAUUCAUCAGGUGAUGCAACUAGGAGACAAAAGGAAAAAAAUUAAAAUCUUUUUAAUCUAUUUGGUGUACUGAAAAGAAUGUCAGGAAGGACAUUUGGAAUAAAAGACAUAGGUUUAUGGCUCCUUUUUUUGCUUCACAUCCUAAUCUAAUUAUGUACUCCUUCAGAUGACAGUUCCCUUGUGAUACUCAUUCAAGAAAAGUAAUAACCAAUGCAAUGAUUAGAACCAACAUUGUAGAACAAUUCCAUCAUAUCCAAGAUCCAAGUCCAUCAUAGGACUGUCUGAUCACCAGAUUUAGUGGUGUCUAGCCUGGGGGCAUUAAAUAGCUUCUCUGACUGAUAUAUUUAUGUAUAUUUGCAGAGUUUAUAUAUUCAUGUUUUCCAAAGUUAAAAAAUCUUUUCUUUUGAAAGAAAAAUAUUGCUCCGUGAAUUAAAAUUAAACCGGCACCGUGCUUUUCUUCAAAUGGCCUACGCCCCCAGGUAGUGAAGCCAAGCGACGUGCAGGGAGCUGCAGCUCCACCUUGCACAGCUGCACGCUCUGGUCCUCCCCCCGCCAACUGGCACUGCGGCUGGUGUGCCUGCUCAAUGAGCCGCUCCAGGGAACUGAUUCCACUGGAAAUUAACACCCACCCCCCCCAAAGUGAUUAAUUUCCAGCCAGAUGAAGGCUCUGCACUAAGGUACCACAUGGCCUUCCCCUCUUCUGCUGCUGGCACAGGGCAGAAGGAGGAGGGCCCAGCCAGGGCACGCUUGUUACUAAUAGGCAUGCUAAUAAACUUGGAAUAGUUUAAGACAAAACAAUAUAGAAAGUGGCAAAAGCAGAACACCGUCUCAAGGUUAACAUGUGGUAACACUUACCUGGAAGUGUAGGCAAGUGAAAGGAGUCAAAGGGUUUCAUUUAUUUACCUUCCCCCCUCAAAUAGCUUCUAAACUCUUGAUUUAUUCUCUGAGGGAGAGGAAUAUAGCACGUAAGUUGCCAAAUCCAGCAAUAUAGGUCUAAAAACAUUACUGAAUUCGUGUAUUCUUCCAGAUGAAAGCAAAGAGAUUUCUAUCUUCUAUUAUCUAAAUCUGAUUUAUAACACACUUUAACAAAGGAUCUAGAAGUAUUUUAAAUGCCAUGUGAAUGUGAAAAUAAGUGAGAGCCUAAAUUCUUGCAAUUCUUUGUGUUCUUUUUAAUUCCAGUCCUAGAACUAGACUGAUAACAUACUGUAUAGAUAACAUUUUUAAUUUAUUCAUUAUAUUCUGAUAAUUUUUCAUAUAAGUAAUUACAUUAAUAAACUGGGCAUAGUCCUUUGAAGUUCAAUUUAGAAAGUACCAUCUUAUCUGCAUGUAAUAAACCUCAUGUAUCUAUCCUCCCUCUUCUACUAUCAUGUCUAGUGACUACUAUUAAAAGCUUUUUUAAAUAUUCCUUUGCUC